rnacentral:tRNA from 1 species
UCCUUGGUGGCUCAGAUGGUAAAGCAUCUGCCUGCAAUGCGGGGGACCCGGGUUCAAUCCCUGGGUCGGGAA